UACGUAGGGUGCGAGCGUUAAUCGGAAUUACUGGGCGUAAAGCGUGCGCAGGCGGUUCGUUGUGUCUGUGGUGAAAGCCCCGGGCUUAACCUGGGAAUGGCCAUGGAAACUGGCGAGCUGGAGUGUGGCAGAGGGGGGUGGAAUUCCGCGUGUAGCAGUGAAAUGCGUAGAGAUGCGGAGGAACACCGAUGGCGAAGGCAGCCCCCUGGGUUGACACUGACGCUCAGGCACGAAAGCGUGGGGAGCAAACGGG
rnacentral:rRNA from 1 species